UACGUAGGUGGCAAGCGUUGUCCGGAUUUACUGGGCGUAAAGGGCGUGCAGGCGGUUUGUUAAGUGCAGGGUGAAAGCUCCCGGCUCAACUGGGAGAGGUCCUUGCAUACUGGCAAACUCGAGGGAGGCAGAGGAAAGUGGAAUUCCCGGUGUAGUGGUGAUAUGCGUAGAUAUCGGGAGGAACACCUGUGGCGAAGGCGGCUUUCUGGGCCUUACCUGACACUGAGACGCGAAAGCUAGGGGAGCAAACGG
rnacentral:rRNA from 1 species